AGUGAACGCUGGCGGUAGGCCUAACACAUGCAAGUCGAACGGCAGCACAGUAAGAGCUUGCUCUUACGGGUGGCGAGUGGCGGACGGGCGAGGAAUACAUCGGAAUCUACUUUUUCGUGGGGGAUAACGUAGGGAAACUUACGCUAAUACCGCAUACGACCUACGGGUGAAAGCAGGGGGUCUUCGGACCUUGCGCGAUUGAAUGAGCCGAUGUCGGAUUAGCUAGUUGGCGGGGUAAAGGCCCACCAAGGCGACGAUCCGUAGCUGGUCUGAGAGGAUGAUCAGCCACACUGGAACUGAGACACGGUCCAGACUCCUACGGGAGGCAGCAGUGGGGAAUAUUGGACAAUGGGCGCAAGCCUGAUCCAGCCAUACCGCGUGGGUGAAGAAGGCCUUCGGGUUGUAAAGCCCUUUUGUUGGGAAAGAAAAGCAGCAGGUUAAUACCCCGCUGUUCUGACAGUACCCAAAGAAUAAGCACCGGCUAACUUCGUG
rnacentral:rRNA from 1 species